rnacentral:rRNA from 1 species
GACGAACUGUCCAAACGUUGUUCGGAAUCACUGGGCUUAAAGGGCGCGUAGGCGGUCGAUCAAGUCAGGGGUGAAAUCCUGCAGCUUAACUGUAGAAGUGCCUCUGAUACUGAUCGUCUUGAGGGAGGUAGGGGUGUGCGGAACUUCCAGUGGAGCGGUGAAAUGCGUUGAUAUUGGAAGGAACACCGGAGGCGAAAGCGGUGUACUGGGGCUGGUCUGACGCUGAGGCACGAAAGCCAGGGGAGCGAACGGG